AUGGGGUGUUUUCGAGUUUUGGGGGAGGAAAGAAAUGAGAGGCCUGAAAUCGUUAGCCUUACACCCUGUGAACUGGUACAAGAAGGUGCGUGCUUCGGGUUUACCUUAUCCUAUCUCCCUAUCUAUCUAUCUAUCGAUAAAACUCUAUCUACCUUCCUUCCCUCUUUCCUCCUUCCUCUAUAUCCUAUCCUUCGUCUGCCCUUCCUACCUUUCCCUGUCCACCCCCCUUAACUUCCCUUAAUUGUCUGAGUAAAGUAGCUCAAGAACACACUACUUCAAUUCUCCCCCUUGUUAUAUUCAUGUUGAACUCUGCCCUCGAAUUUCCCACGGUGUUUAUUGUCCCUUUCCCCGUUUCUGCCAUGUGACUGCAAUAUUCCCACAGUUCCCUUCCCAUUUCCAGUCAAUAAUCCUCCAUUCGAUCUCUCGCUUUAAUUAUUCACUUCGCCUAUAUUUAAUCCCGCUUUCAUCGUAUAGUGCGUGUUCAUAUUAUUCACAUUGUUAAUACCUGCUGUUUGCUUGCUGUCUUCUUAAUAUAUCUGUAUUCUGCAGAGCUUGGGAUUUCAGCGGAUUCCGGCCAUUCCUCUUGUGAUAUUUUCUUUCAGAAUCGUUUUGGAUAGGACAGUAAUUGAGCUUGGGUGCAUCUGUUUCAUUCAAAAGCAUUGGAAGAACCAGCCGGUGAUCGAGCUAGCUACCACUGUAUCAAGCUUCAAUCAAAUCCAAUCGUUUUUGUUUGAUGCGCAAUGGCUCCAAAAACAGGGAAGACAAAACCCCACAAAGGCAAGGGAGAAAAGAAGAAAAAGGAAGAGAAAGUGCUGCCGAACGUAGUCGAGAUUACCGUGGAAACGCCGGACGAGUGUCAAGUGACUCUCAAGGGCAUAUCUACGGACAAGAUCUUAGAUGUUAGGAAACUUUUAGCCGUCCACGUCGAGACUUGUCAUUUGACCAAUUACUCCUUCUCCCACGAGGUAAAAGGAGCUAGGCUGAAGGAUUCUGUCGACAUCGUCUCUCUCAAACCUUGCCACCUCUCCAUCGAACAAGAGGACUACACUGAAGAGCUCGCCGUCGCCCACGUGCGGCGCCUUCUCGACAUCGUCGCCUGCACCACCUCCUUCGGACCGUCCAAACCCGGCGGCCGAACCGGCCCGAAAGAGUCGGGUCUUAAAGAACCCGGUUCUGUUUCCAACGACGGCGAUGCAUCGUUGCAGUCUGCGUCGGAUAAUGGGGGUGAACCAGGUUCAAAGUCUAAAGCUGGGGAGAAGAAAGCGGGUUCAGCCAUCGGUGGAGUCCAGAAGGGGGGUCAUGGAGUCAAGAAUGGCAAGGACGCCGCCGUCUCCGGGGAUUCUCUGGCCAAGGAGGCGACGCUGGAGAAAGGGGACACGGCGCCGCCCAUGUGCCCUCCGCCGAAGCUCGGCCAAUUCUACGACUUCUUCUCCUUUUCGCAUCUUACGCCGCCGCUCCACUAUAUUCGGAGAUCCACUCGCCCGUUUCUUGAGGAUAAAACAGUCGAUGAUUUUUUUAAAAUUGAUACUCGAGUUUGUAGUGGGAAGCCAAUGACAAUUGUUGCUUCCCUAAAAGGGUUCUAUCCUGCAGGAAAGCAUCUUCUUCUGAGUCACUCUUUGGUUUGUCUGCUGCAGCAAAUAAGCAGACCCUUUGACGCUGCAUACAAAGCUCUCACGAAAGCUUUCACAGAGCACAAUAAGUUUGGAAAUCUUCCUUAUGGUUUUCGCGCAAAUACAUGGGUUGUUCCUCCAGUUAUUGCUGAUAAUCCAUCUCUGUUUCCACCACUUCCUGUGGAAGAUGAAAAUUGGGGAGGAAAUGGUGGGGGACAGGGAAGAGAUGGGAAACACGAUCACAGGCAGUGGGCGAAGGAGUUUGCAGUUCUGGCUGCAAUGCCUUGUAAAACAGCAGAAGAGAGGCAAAUUCGAGACCGGAAGGCCUUCCUGCUUCACAGUUUAUUUGUCGACGUUUCAGUCUUUAAAGCUGUUGCAGCUAUCAAGGAUCUCAUCGAUAAUAACCAUUGCUCUCCCAAUGGUUGCUGCACUUCAUCAAUUUUACAUGAAGAAAGAGUUGGAGAUUUACUAAUCAGAGUGAUGAGAGAUGUGCCUGAUGCAAGCAAGAAAUUGGAUAGUAAAAAUGAUGGGUGUCAGGUUCUUGGAAUGUCGGAGGAGGAGCUUGCUCGGAGAAAUUUACUUAAAGGCAUUACUGCAGACGAGAGUGCAACUGUUCAUGACACAUCCACUUUAGGUGUUGUGGUUGUUAGACACUGUGGUUACGCAGCUGUUGUGAAAGUUGCAACCGUGGUAGAUUGGGAGGGGAAUUCCAUUCCCAAAGACAUUGAUAUUGAGGAUCAGCACGAGGGAGGGGCCAAUGCCUUGAAUGUUAAUAGCUUGAGAAUGCUACUGCACAAGUCAUCCUCUCAAUCAUCUGGCUCUCUUCCGCGAUUACAGAGUUCAGAUUUUGAAGAUUUACGUUCUGCUAGGUCUUUGGUUCGAGAAGUGCUUGGGGAAAGUUUGCUGAAGUUGCAGGGAGAAGAUGCUAAACAGGCAAGAUCUAUCAGAUGGGAACUAGGAGCAUGCUGGGUGCAACAUUUGCAAAAUCAGGCUUCAGGAAAAGCUGAGACUAAGAAAACUGAGGAAACUAAGGUUGAGCCUGCUGUUAAGGGUCUUGGAAAGCAAGGUGGACUGCUAAAGGAAAUUAAGAAGAAAAUAGCUGACAGAAGCUGCAAGACUGAGCAGGGAAAGGAGGUUGCUGUGGGUAAAAGCCUUGAAAUGAAUAAGAAGUCAGAUUCAAGUAAUCAGAAGGAACUAGAGAUACAAGAUGAGGAAAAGGGAAUGAUGUGGAGGAAGCUGCUUCCUGAAGCAGCAUAUUUGCGACUUAAAGAAUCAGAAACUGGUCUUCACCUUAAGUCACCCGAUGAGUUGAUUGACAUGGCACAUAAAUAUUAUGCCGAUAUUGCACUUCCUAAACUGGUUGCAGAUUUUGGCUCCCUUGAGCUUUCCCCUGUUGAUGGAAGGACGUUGACAGAUUUUAUGCAUACCAGGGGCUUGAAAAUGUGUUCCUUGGGACAUGUGGUUGAACUUGCUGACAAGCUCCCUCAUGUGCAAUCACUCUGUGUACUUGAGAUGGUUGUUCGAGCCUAUAAACACGUACUGCAAGCAGUUGUAUCAGCAGUUGAUAACUUGUCAGAUUUGGCUGUGUCAAUAGCAUCAUGUUUAAAUGUAUUGUUAGGAACACCAUCAACCAAAAAUGGUGAUGAAGACAUUGCUAAUGAUGAUAAUUUGAAAUGCAAAUGGGUGGAAACCUUUCUUUUGAAGAGGUUUGGGUGGCAAUGGAAGCAUGAAAGCUGCCAGGAUAUGAGAAAAUUUGCAAUCCUUCGUGGGCUUUGCCAUAAGGUUGGACUCGAGCUUGUUCCAAGGGACUAUGAUAUGGGCACUGCAUAUCCAUUUAGGAAAUCAGAUGUUAUAAGCAUGUUUCCUGUGUUUAAGCAUGUAGCAUGUUCAUCUGCGGAUGGGCGUACGCUACUAGAAUCAUCAAAAACUUCAUUGGAUAAAGGAAAAUUGGAGGAUGCUGUAAACUAUGGCACAAAGGCACUCUCAAAACUCGUGGCAGUAUGUGGCCCUUAUCAUCGAAUGACUGCUGGAGCCUAUAGUCUUUUGGCUGUUGUUCUUUAUCACACCGGGGAUUUUAAUCAGGCGACCAUCUAUCAGCAAAAGGCUCUGGAUAUCAAUGAAAGGGAGCUUGGCCUUGAUCAUCCUGAUACAAUGAAAAGCUAUGGGGAUCUAGCUGUUUUCUACUAUCGACUUCAACAUACUGAGUUAGCCUUGAAGUACGUGAAUCGCGCAUUGUAUCUCCUGCAUCUGACAUGUGGGCCUUCGCAUCCAAAUACUGCUGCCACCUAUAUAAAUGUAGCAAUGAUGGAAGAAGGUUUGGGGAAUGUUCAUGUUGCACUUAGAUAUCUUCAUGAAGCUCUCAAGUGUAACCAGAGACUGCUCGGGGCAGAUCAUAUACAGACUGCUGCAAGCUAUCAUGCUAUAGCAAUUGCUCUCUCUUUGAUGGAAGCAUACACCCUAAGUGUUCAGCAUGAACAAACCACGCUACAGAUACUGCAGGCUAAACUUGGAUCAGAUGAUCUACGCACACAGGAUGCAGCUGCAUGGCUUGAGUACUUUGAGUCCAAGGCUUUAGAGCAGCAAGAAGCUGCACGCAAUGGUACUCCAAAGCCUGAUGCCUCUAUCUCCAGUAAAGGUCAUUUGAGUGUAUCAGAUCUCUUGGAUUAUAUAACCCCCCACUCAGACAUCAAAGUGAGAGAUGCCCAAAAGAAGCAAGCACGUGCAAAGGUUAAAGGGAAACCAAGCCAAAGCUGGGAAACUGAUGACUAUGAACAUCAGAAGGAUGAAAAUUUAUCACCAAGUCAUCCUGCUACAGAGAGUUCGAGUGAUAAAGAAAACAAAUCAGAUGAUCAGUUUGCAGUAUCCAUGGAUGGGAAAACUGAUUCAAGUAUCGUGGAUCAACCACUAUUGAACAAAAACAAUGAUAUUCCACAGUAUGAUACCUCCGAUGAAGGUUGGCAAGAAGCUGUUCCUAAAAGUCGCUCACCUGCAGCUCGCAAAUCUUCUGGUUCUAGUAGGCCUAGCCUAGCAAAAUUGAACACUAACUUUAUGAACGUAUCCCAGUCAUCAAGAUAUCGAGGAAAACCCUCCAAUUUUGCAUCCCCAAGAACAACAAAUGAGACUGCUGCUUCUACUGGAUCUCCUCUUCCUGUUCAAAAGAAAUUUGUCAAGAGUGCAAGCUUCAGUCCAAAGGUUAAAAAUCCUGCCACUUUUGCUGCUGGGGCAGAAAAAGUUGCCAACCCAAAGUCUGCCCCACCUAGCCCAGCUUCAACUGAUCAAGCUGCCAAGGCUACUCCUGCGGCUAGUUCCAUCAGUGUUCAGGUAGCUGGAAAACUUUUUUCCUAUAAAGAAGUUGCACUAGCCCCGCCUGGGACAAUUGUCAAGGCAGUGGCUGAACAAUUACCAAAGGGAAAUAUUCCAAUUGAACAAAAUCUGCAAGUGAGCAAGGAGAUGGUUGUGACGGAGGCAACCCAGGGUGAGGCAACAGCAGUAAAGGAUGUGGAAGUGGAAAAGGUUCAGAAAGUUGUGGAAGAGAAGCAGAUUCCAGUUUCUGAGAAUGAAAUGAGAAGCAAUGUCAAUGGAGAAUAUGAAACAAAAGUGGAGGAUUCUGCGGUUACUCAGACUUCAGAGGAAGUAAAGCAAGAUAGUAUGAAUGUUGCCAAUAAAGACCAAUAUGUAGAUGCUGGAAAGAUUUCAAUUGUUGAAAGCACAGAAAUUGAAACUGGAAGUGUUGUUGUAUCGGGAUUUGAGAGUUCUGAAGUGUUGGAAACAGAAUUGUUAGUUGAAUGCUCUGCAGAUUCCCCUGACUUGGAUCAUCUAUCUGUUUUAAAUGAAGAUGCAAAUAUUUUGCUGGAAAAACAUUCCUCUGUUUCCACAGAAAAAGUGGCAAAUGGAGAAGAAGAUUCACGUGAUCUAUGUGCUGAUAAUGGAAGUAUGAAGCCUUUGUCAACUGAAGUUGAAAGGCAAGAUGAAACUGGAACUGGGAAAGAGGCUAAGAAACUUUCUGCCGCUGCACCCCCAUUCAAUCCAUCUACAAUACCAGUUUUUGGCUCAGUUCCUAUUCCUGGAUUUAAAGAUCAUGGAGGAAUUUUACCCCCACCAGCGAAUAUUCCACCGAUGCUUACACUGAGUUCUGUCCGUAGAUCACCUCAUCAGUCAGCAACUGCAAGGGUUCCAUAUGGUCCGAGGCUGUCCGGCAGUUAUAACAGAUCUGGAAGUCGUGUUCCACAUAACAAGCCCAGCUUUCACUCUGGUGAACAUGCUAGUGACGGGGGUCACUUCAGCCCUCCUAGAAUAAUGAACCCGCAUGCAGCUGAGUUUGUACCUGGUCAACCAUGGGCUUCGAAUGGCUAUCCAGUAUCUCCAAAUGGCUAUUUGGCUUCCCCGAAUGGCAUUCCUAUGCCACCAAAUGUUUUCUCCACAUCCCCAAAUGGCACUCAAGUGUCACCCAAUGAUCAUCCAUCAUCCCUGGAUACUAUUUCAUUGACGCAAAAUGGGUUUCCAGCAUGUCCAGUCAGUUCAGUGGAUUGUCCUACACUUUUAUUAAAUGAGGUUGGUGAUGAAAACAAAACAGCAAAGGCUGAAGAGAAUCCUGAGGAGUUUUCAACUGAACCGGCAGGUGAAAACCAGCCAAUUGGGCAAAACACAGACAAAUGCCAAUCCAUAGACAAUGAAAAAAUUAUUUGUGAAGAGAAUCCUGAGGAGUUUUCAACCAAACCGGCAGGUGAAAACCAGCCAAUUGGGAAAAACACAGACAAAUGCCAAUCCAUAGACAAUGAAAAAAGUAUUUGUGAAGAGAAUCCUGAGGAGUUUUCAACCAAACUGGCAGGUGAAAACCAGCCAAUUGGGCAAAGCACAGAUGAAUGUCAAUCCAUAGACAAUGAAAAUAUUAUUUGUGGAGUUGAAGAAAGGGCUGAGGAUGCAAAAACAAUUCCUGAAACUGAAGAAAAGCCUGAGGAUGGUGUUGCAGCAUCUGAGGCUGGAGAUGUUGUGGGAGAAGAAAAUCAUGAGAAAAUAAUAGUUGGGGACAAACCAACAAAGUGUGAGCAGCCAACCAAGUGUUGGGGAGAUUACAGUGAUAGUGAAGCUGAGAUUGUUGAGGUUGCAAGCUGAAUGGGGAUAAUGAAUUAAGAAGUCAUCUGUUCAACUUGACAGUUGUAAAGUCACAAGUGAGAUGACUGUGGCAAUAACUGAUGCUUACAAAUAGAAGGAAAAUGAUUGGAUGAAAGCAUUGGAAAAUUUCGCGGUGGAAUCAACAGUGGAUCACAGAUUUCUGAUACAGUUUUGAUUUUUGUUGCAGCAAGAGAACUGUUAAUGUAGAUUCUUUGUUAAUAGGCUGGCAUGUGGAAGAGAUUUGCCAUGACAGUGGAAGGAUCUGCUGAGUAGGUUCAUCGGCCAUUUGAAUCUUUCUACUUUAAUUUUGGUUACCUGGCAAAUGAUGAGUGCGUGGAAGUCUUUUGUUUUAUAUUAUUUUAUUAUAUUUUUUGGCAGACAAUGCAUGAAGGUUGUGUCUAAAGCUCUGCUACAGCAAAUGCCCAGCCACAAUGAAAAACAUGUUCAAGCCCCUCUUUGUCUCUCAUAUGCACCUACCAAGUUCUGCAGAUUUUGUACCAGGUGGCUGGUUUGCUUUCUCUUAAGUUGGUUUUCCAAAUUAAAUCCUGCAGUAUAGCCUUGUUGUUCAAUUUGAGCUACCAAAUGGGGCUUAGCCAUAUCAUUGAAUGGAGUUUUGCCAAA